GGAGGGAUACGGGUCCCUGCGAUCUUCCCAGACCGGAGCGCUGUGCCCGGCGGUGGCGGUGGCGGUGGCGGAGGCUCUCAGCCGAGUUCUGCCUUUGCGUCCGCGCCAGCCCGGAGCCUCCGGGGGCCGACGGUCAGUCCCGGCGCGGCGAGAGGAUGGUCAUCCGCGUGUUCAUCGCCUCCUCCUCGGGCUUCGUGGCGAUAAAGAAGAAACAGCAGGAUGUGGUUAGAUUUCUGGAAGCCAACAAGAUAGAGUUUGAGGAGGUGGACAUCACGAUGUCAGAAGAGCAGAGGCAGUGGAUGUACAAGAACAUCCCCCUGGAGAAGAAGCCUGCCCAGGGCAACCCUCUGCCACCUCAGAUAUUUAAUGGUAACCGAUACUGUGGAGAUUAUGACAGUUUCUUUGAAUCCAAGGAAAGCAACACAGUCUUUUCAUUCUUAGGCCUCAAAUCACAGUUGGCAUCAAAGGCAGAACCUUAACGAAGACAAGCGGAAGAGGACGGAGAUGCAUUCUGGAGCGCCCCUGGUACUCAGCACACACCUGCUCACCUAAUGCAUCACUGUGACAGAAGCCACGUGCAUUAUCAGUAACUUUGCUUGCCAUGGAAAAGGUGUUUGGGGAAGACGUGGGUCUAAUGGGAUUGCAUGAGUGCUUUAAACCGAAUCAGGACCGUGGUGGGUUUUUUCCUUGUUUUCAGAAUUGCCUGCAGUUGCCUCACUCACCCGGAGGGACUGUCACCUGUUACAGGUGUGCCUCCUGAGUAACUGAGUGAUAAUGGGUGGCACCCUCAGAGAGAAAGUACUGGAUCUGCCCCAGGUUGUAGUUGAUGCCAGGAUCGCUCAGACCUGCUUCUCUUCAGGCUGCCUAGGUGGUGUCCUUGAAAUCAGUCUGCCAGGCUUUUAGAAUAUUUUGAUCAGAAAGGAAAAAAAAGCAAUGUUGGUUGACAAAGGGCUAAAGAGCUUUGCUGCACUGUAGAAAAAAUUAGGUGUUCUAGCCUCCUUUCGGUAAUGGAAAUUCUUACCCCCAUAAAUCCUCCAGACCCCUACAGAUGUUUCCAGAAAUCACUGUUGCAACAAUGUGUGAUCAGAACCAAGUGACAGGGAUGAAAAGAAUUGCUAUUUGGAAAAAAAAAAUGCUUCUUUAUCUCUUACAAAGGAAAAGUUUCACCUAAUGUGUAAGAUGACUUAAAAGAUAUAUUUAAAGAGGUGCACUGAUCGUUAAUUUAUAGGGACAUUAUCUGACUCGUACCUGAAGGCAUUUCAACUCUAGCAACUUAUUAUGCGUAAGUGCACGUAUAUUUUUAAACGCAGCUCCCCCAACUAAUAGCUGCUUAUAUAUUUUGCAAAGGGAUUGUAUUUUUCGAGAAAGGAGGAUCUCAGUUAGAUAUAUUUUGUGAACCCUUGAUGAGGCAUAUUAAAAGAUACUAAUAUUGCUGCACACUUUAAUUUUUUUCCUGUGUUACUUUUCACUGGUCCUCUGACACUGCCAGCUCAUAUUUCUGGCCAGUGCACAGUUCCGGAUUUUCAGAGUAACAUAGAUACAUGUUCUCAUUCCAUAUAUGAACACCAGUGAUUUUUCAGAACAGAGUACAUACGAGAAAGGGGCUGUCAGAUACUCACUCUGAAUUGUACUUGGCAUGUGAAAUCUCUCCUUCCUUUGGAGUGGGUGCUGACAAACACUGAACCCGUCGACUUCAUUAGGGCAAAGGCUUCUUUUCUGCAUCCUUGUCCCUGCUCACAUUUUUUUAGAGUUUUUAGUUGCCAAACCUGGGAAUAGUCUUGAAUAGAAUAAGUUCAGAGUGCUGCCUAAGAUAUUCUGCUAUUCUCAGUGUCCUGAUGGUGGACCUGCCCUUUUGAUUCUGAGCAGGAAGUUUGUAAGAAAUGGAAAGAACAGAAGAAUUUAGUCCCUGUCACCUGUGUUCUCUCUCCCUCCAACUUGCUAAAUGUGGACUAUUGUAAAGAACCUGUUGAAUGCUAAAGCUGACAUCCCGGCCUGAGAUUUGCACCCCAGGACUACAACCAGAAGGAAAGCAUGCCACUGAUUCCUACAUGACUGGAACAGAUACAUAAUCCACAAUUUUCUCUGCAAGGAAAGCUGCUGUAAAAUCACGGCUAUGACUGCUUAGUUGGCAUUAAAUACGAUCCAGGUCAAAUUCCACUUGCUAAAUCCCAGGGACUAACCAGGAAAUGUUUUUGAACUGGAUAUCGUGUUAAAGUCUAAGAAGACUUAGAAUUUCUUGAUACAGCAGUUUUUAAAAGUUAACAUUGCAAUGGUCUAACUUACAUUUUGUCUACUCUUGCCAGUGACGACCGAGAAGCAACUUGGUAAGAUUGAGUCUUGGGGUUGUAGGAUCAAUUCAAUACCUGCUAGACCAAGAAAGCUACUCAGAAUUGUUUGUCUCAAAACUUCUGAAUUACUCUGGUUGUAGUAGGCCCAGUAUGGUUGUCCUAAACAGACUAGAUGAAUAGGAGUGCUAAAUUAUUUACCACAGUUACAGAUCACCUACCCCACCCCACUUUUUUUUUUUUUUUUUUUUUUUGGAGCAGCAAAGAAAUAGGAGAGACCAGCUUCACCUGGUAUUGUACUUGUUAUGAGCAAGCUAGAAACACAUUGUGUGGCAUUUCCCUCAGUACCCAGGCUCUGCAGAGUCCUAAGGUACUGCCCUCUGGGACCGCAAUGUGUCCUUACUUGUGUUUUACCAGCUGAAUUCCAAACCUGUAAUGGUUUUCUUCAUCCCUUCUUUUUUUGUUUUGUUUUUUUACGGUACGCGGGCCUCUCACUGUUGUGGCCUCUCCCGUUGCGGAGAGCAGGCUCCGGAUGCGCAGGCUCAGCGUCCAUGGCUCACGGGCCUAGCCGCUCCGCGGCAUGUGGGAUCCUCCCGGACCGGGACACGAACCCCUGUCCCCAGCAUCGGCAGGCGGAAUCUCAACCAGCACGCCACCAGGGAAGCCCUUCAUCCCUUCUUUAACUAGCUGCCUUUAGAUCUGAAUAAUCAUAGUCUUAAAAAUCUAGGAAAGAAGUGGAUGGGAAUUGCAGACAUAGAUGUAAUAUCAAAAGCAUUUUAAGACAGAAUUUUUAUUUCCUGUAGUAGGCUUGUUGGGGCAAAGAAAAUGUGCUGCUAAAAAUCAAAUUAUCCCAUUUUAAAAUGAGAUAAAAUACAGAGAGUGCCAUCUUGCUAGGUAUAUGCAGACCAGAAGAAAAUUUAGUUGGGGAAGUACUUGUUUUUCCACAUUCUGGUAUUCUCUUAAAAUCACAAAGGAGAAAAGGAGGAUUUUUUUUUCUCUCAGGCUCUAAUAUAUUUUAGAUUUGUUUCUGUUUUAUAGAUUUAUUCAACACUCCCACAUAGAUGUUUUUAUAUUACAUGAAUUUAAUAAUGAACUAAACUUAUUUUUGUCCUUCCUUGUUGAAAGGUACCAAAGCCUCUUUCUGGUUUGUUUUGUUUUGUUUUUUAAUUUGAUUUUGCUGUAUAGGGUUUUGCUUUUUCUAGAAAUGCUUACAUCUUUUCUAAAGUGUCAGAGCCCACUUUGAUCUGCAAAAUUAUUGUGUUUAGAUUUCCAUUUGUAUGCAUUUAUUUGUCUCUAAAGGCAUUGGUGAAAUCUCAGAUUUUAUAUUCAGCAUUAAAGAGGAAUAAAGUACAGAAAACACAUA
rnacentral:lncRNA from 1 species